CACAUACUCCCUCCGUUCGGAAUUACUUGUCGUAGAAAUGGAUGUAUCUAGACGUAUUUUAGUUCUAGAUACAUCCAUUUUCGAGACAAGUAAUUCCGAACGGAGGGAGUAAUAG
rnacentral:pre_miRNA from 1 species